AUGUUGCAUUGUUAAUUUAAUUAAUGAAUAAUAUUUUUUGUAUCAAUAGAUAUAUUAAUAAUGAAAUUGCCAUAUAAUAAAUGCAAUCUAUUCUUUUUCUAUUUUAUAUAUUAAAUAUUUUGCAAAAGUGAUUUCAUAAAUUGAAAUAUUUAUUCUUCCAAUUUGGAAAGAAAUUUUUUCCUUAAUCAAGUAGUAUGAUAUAUUCAAAGAAAGAAAAAGAAAUUAAGAGAAAAGAAGAAAGAUGAUAUUUUAUUCUUUGUAAUGAAAUUUAUUUAGUUAUAUAUUAUUAUUAUUAGUUAUAUAUUUUAUUUUGAUAAUAUAAUUGAUUAGAAAUUUAUAUUCUCAUAAAAGAUCAUUAAAUAAUUUUAUAAAAUCAAAUUAUUAACAAUUAUUAGUAAUUCAUAUCAAUAAUCUAUAGUCCUAACUUAAUACUAUUUGUUUUUUCAAUUUUAAAAAUUGUAUACUCAAUUGUACUCAAAAAUGAUAUAUGUAAGAUUCAUUUAGGAAGUUAGUAGGUCAAAUUUAACUUAUUUGUCAGAUUUAACAGAUUUAUACUUAUUUGUUAUCUAGAUUUUAUUUAAAAUAGAGUAAUUACUGUUUAGCUCAAAUUCAAUUUUUUUUUCAAAAAUCAGAGAAUAAAUUUAGAUUAAAUAACCAAAUGAAGCUGAUUAUAUUCAUCCACUCAUUUAUUGCAUGUUGUGUAUGUCAUCUCGACCGCCUUUUUCUUGAAACAGAAGCUAAAAAUAGACUCAAGGGCGCGGAUAAGGGUGCACUGGACUACUACGAUGUCACGUAAGCCCUACGCUUCGGUUCUAUUUUCUAUAUAAUACGUAUCUAUCAAACUAAAGAUAUCAUGGUAUGUGUGAGUGCAGUGUCUGCUUCAAAAUCGAUAAGCGUAUUCGUGCAGUCUACAAUAGUAAAACGUGUUUUGUGAACGGAAACCACGUGGUAAUGAAAAUGUCAAAAUAUGCUAUUUUUUCAAAAUAUUUUGCAAUUAAUUUGUCUAUAAAUCAUAAUUAUAAUAUCACUGUUAUGAUUAAAAUAUAUUAUUAUUAAAUAAUUAAAAUUAAAUUAUAGAAAAUAUUAAUAUGUAUUUCCAUACAUUUUAUCAUUAUACAUUGUGUAUUUUUUAAAAUGGUUUAAAAUUUUAUACAAAAUUUUUGUUUAUCUUAUUUAUUUAUAAUAAUUUUUUAAUACAUUUUUAAUACUUAAAGUUUAAAUUUAUAGAAUUUUUAAGAUUAAAAAAAAACUAUUUUAGAUUCAAUAGUUUCUAAAAAAUACAUGUAAAAUAUAUGUUAUCAUAUAAUAAUAAUUGUUUAAAGAAUAAAUUUGCACAUUGCACAAGAUAUGUUCAAAAAAAAAUAGGACAGUUUUAUAAAUACACCUGUCACGCUUCUUUGUCGAAAUAGUGCUUCGAUGAUAUAAUCAGUGAAUCAUUUGUGCCUAAUAAGAAAUCAUAUUGUAUUGUUUUUUACGAAGACAUAUCAAAUGUUCUUGAUUUCAUUUUUCUUCUUGGAAUUCAAUGAUUAUUGUAUUAUUUUUAUAAUAAUUUAUUAUUAUUAAUAUAAUUUUUAAAUGUUAUCAUCAUAUACUUGGUAUGUGAAAAUGAUCUGUACAUUCAUACAUCACUUACAUACCAGAUGAACGAGUAAGCUAUUUCACCUAAGGUAAGUCUAACCUAACCUCAAAAUGAUGUCAGCGCCCGGCCCACUGUCACUUGCAUGCAGCAUCUUCAUACAAAAUACGAUGUAAAAUAUGCUUUUAACUUUUCGAGUAUUAAAUAAAAUAUAAGAAUGAAAAUAUAUGAUCAUAAAAAUAUAUAAAUCGUAACAUAAAUAUCUAUACACUUCACAAUAUAUGAACAAAUAUGAUCAAAUGUAACAAGAAAGAUUUAUAAAAUAAUCGAUAUCCUUAAAUAUAUUUAAACUAAAAAGAUAAAUAUAUGUAUAUAUAAUAUUAAUAAAAGUCAUUCAAAAAUAUUAUAUAAUAUAAAAAAAUGCUUAAAACAGAAAGUUUAUGUGCUAAAUAUAAUUUGUGAUGCAAUAAAAAUAUUUAUAAUUUAUGAAAUAUAUGAAACAUUUUAUAAUACCAUUUCCAAAUACAUAUCUAAAUUAAUUUUUGUUAAUUCAGUCAAUAUCAUACAAUGUAUUUCUAUUUACUUUCUUUAUUAUCGCGGUAAUUCUUCUCGAUAGGAAGAAUUAAAUCCAAAUAAGGUGCAAGUUGCAUUGUGGGCGGCCUGAAAACCCAAUGGUCCGCAAAGCCUCGACCUUGCUUACCAAAUAAGGUCCCGUUCAAGGUCUUCGAGGCCUUGCGUAAGGCUCUGGCCGUGCCAUCGGCAUAACGAUUAACCGAUUAUGUCCAUGCUUUAGUCAUCGGCCGUUUUCAGUGAAAGUGUUUAGUGCAAUUUCCAUGGAAAGAUUGGAUGUAUUUUUUCUUUCGAACUUUUUAUCUCAUAUUAGAUCCAUGAUCUCGUCCUGUGGAAAGUUCAGAUUGGGCGUGUCUGUCCUACGCGGACACGUGCUGUAGGUAACGUCUGGCUCCAGUCGCGCAGUGCCACCGAAAUCAAUACGGAAUGCGACGGUAAGUUCAACGCACCCACCCAGAAGAGUGCUUAAGGUUCUUUCUCAUUGGACUAGCCGCAUGCAUUCGGUCCAGACAGUGAAACUAUCAUCGAGAAUCACCGUAACGAGGUCAAAGACCUUGUACGGCAUAUUUUUCGCGAAUUGAAAAUUCACCAAGUUAACAAAGAAGUCAGAGUUUGGGGAAAUGUAUUGAAAGAACUUGAAAUAGAAAUUCUUUGUAAACAAGUAUACUUAUCGAAGAAUGUUUUUACAGUUACGAAUUUUUUCUUAAAAAUACAGUGAUUAAAAUUAGUUUAUUCAUCACGAAUUAUUGAUAAAAUUUAACAAGAUAAGUUUAUGACUUUUUAUUUUUUUUUAUAUAUCAGUUUACUCAAUAUAAUUUUGAAUUAUGAUAUAAAUUAUUGCGAUAUCUUAUGAAUGAUUCGUAAAUAAUGAUAUUUUGAAAGCUAACUUAUAUUGCAAUGAAAAGACUUAUAAAAAUAUAAUGAAAAAAUUAUAUAUAAUUAUAAAAUAAGAUAAUUCAAUAUUUUAUACUUUUAUAUAUACAAUUUAAAAAAAUUUUAUACAAUUUUUAUCUAAAUCUUGAUUAUUUUCAGAGAAAAUACUAUGAAAGAUUAAAAUGUAAUUUUAAUUUUUUUUGUUACAUAUACUUCAUGAAUAUUUCUUUAUUUUCCCUUGGUAAGAACAAAAAAGAUCUUUUAUAUACUUCUCUUCUCUUCAAAGUACAAUCUAGUGACCGUUCACGUGUAAUACUUGAAUUGUCUUUAAAUAGAAGAUAAAAAUUUCUCAGUGAAAAAUUUCAUCUCGUUUCGCAGUUUUUCUUUCAAUUUCUUUUAAACUAAAAUAUUUAAAUUUUAAAUCUUUUUAUUAAAUUUUAUUAAAUUUUUAUAAACAUUCAAUUCAUAAUCAAUCUUAAAGUGAGAAGUAAUUAAUUUGUCUGCAACUAAUUUCUAGUCAUAGUAACAGUUCUCAUUGGCGAUUGCCAAGCAUGCCAGGAAUCCGGUCAGAGACGCGCGAUAAUACGCGAUCACUAUAUUUAGUGUUGACUUAUGGCUCGUUAAAUCGAGAAACAGUGACGUUGGACUGAGCAGCUGAUGAUAAAGAAAAUGAUAAUAUGUAUGCAAAGAUUGGAAAAAUUGUUAUUCGUUUAUGAACGAACGAUUCAAAACUUCGAUCAAAAAUUCAUUCGAUGAUUCAAAGUAGUGGCUUACUUUUGACAAGGAUUUCAACCGUUAGUCAGACACGCAAGAUCCGCGGUCUUCAGCUCUGACGGAAUGACGUUGGAGAUUCUUGGGAUUUGACCUUGCACACACGACUGACCCAGAACAGGUAGACAACCGGUAAAACGAAUGUACUCACAUACUGCCGGCUACUACUUACGUUCUUGACUCCGUUUUCUUCCACGAAGGAAGUAAAUUCAAGGAUUUGGAACAUGGCCGUAGAUCGUUAAGAUUACCAAAAAGAUGAUUUUGUCCUUCCGUAUAUUCAAAUCGGCGCUCAACGAUUCACAUUUGUGUAAUUUUUACACGGGUUACAUAUUUCAUAAAAUUUGAUAAUUAUUUUGAAAAAUGUUAUUUGAAAAAUACAUUUUAACAAAUUUAUUUAUUUUUCUUAUUUAGCUUUCUUUUUUUUGUUUGAGUUUAACAGAUGAAUCGAAAAAGGAAGAAAACUUAAGGAAGUUUAAACGAUAAGGAAUUCGUGCGAUUGAUUUAUCCGAACGAUGUCAGAAAUCGUUCUAAGAAAUUUCUGUCGAUGAACGAUGAGUAAAGGAAAACUAAUAAAUUGUGUUAUUACGAAAUAAUGAGCAUGAAACACGAAAGCGUAAUAUGUUCAUCUAUCAUUCAGGAAAGUUAUAUUUUUUGCACUAGUGAUCUUAAAUAGAUAAUCUCGUAAUCGGUGAACGAUUGUUGUCACAGCAAAAAAUCGAGUUGAAUGAAACUGGAACAGAGUGUAUGUUCGUUAAGUCGACAAGCAAAAACUACCGGAUGAAUGGCUGGAUACUGUACAAGGCAUCCUUCUCGAGUGGGACGAGGGAUCCACGACGAAGAAAGAAGAAAGAGAAUAAGAUCGGAUCUGGAUUAUCGGGAAACUUCAAAACCCUUCAUCUAUGAAAACUUGAACUUGUAGUAGCAUUUUUAGUGAUAACCCAUAUUCUCUUCCAAUUAACUUAAUAAUUAUUACAAUUAUGUAUGAACAAUUAA